GUGGGGAAUAUUGGACAAUGGGCGCAAGCCUGAUCCAGCCAUGCCGCGUGAGUGAUGAAGGCCUUAGGGUUGUAAAGCUCUUUCAGUAGGGAAGAUAAUGACGGUACCUACAGAAGAAGCCCCGGCUAACUUCGUGCCAGCAGCCGCGGUAAUACGAAGGGGGCUAGCGUUGUUCGGAUUUACUGGGCGUAAAGCGCACGUAGGCGGAUCGUUAAGUCGGGGGUGAAAUCCUGGAGCUCAACUCCAGAACUGCCUUCGAUACUGGCGAUCUUGAGUCCGGAAGAGGUGAGUGGAACUCCUAGUGUAGAGGUGGAAUUCGUAGAUAUUAGGAAGAACACCAGUGGCGAAGGCGGCUCACUGGUCCGGUACUGACGCUGAGGUGCGAAAGCGUGGGGAGCAAACAGGAUUAGAAACCCUGGUAGUCC
rnacentral:rRNA from 1 species